rnacentral:rRNA from 1 species
CGAAAGCUAUUUAGGUAGCGCCUCGUGAAUUCAUCUCCGGGGGUAGAGCACUGUUUCGGCAAGGGGGUCAUCCCGACUUACCAACCCGAUGCAAACUGCGAAUACCGGAGAAUGUUAUCACGGGAGACACACGGCGGGGGCUAACGUCCGUCGUGAAGAGGGAAACAACCCAGACCGCCAGCUAAGGUCCCAAAGUCAUGGUUAAGUGGGAAACGAUGUGGGAAGGCCCAGACAGCCAGGAUGUUGGCUUAGAAGCAGCCAUCAUUUAAAGAAAGCGUAAUAGCUCACUGGUCGAGUCGGCCUGCGCGGAAGAUGUAACGGGGCUAAACCAUGCACCGAAGCUGCGGCAGCGACGCUUAUGCGUUGUUGGGUAGGGGAGCGUUCUGUAAGCCUGUGAAGGUGUGCUGUGAGGCAUGCUGGAGGUAUCAGAAGUGCGAAUGCUGACAUAAGUAACGAUAAAGCGGGUGAAAAGCCCGCUCGCCGGAAGACCAAGGGUUCCUGUCCAACGUUAAUCGGGGCAGGGUGAGUCGACCCCUAAGGCGAGGCCGAAAGGCGUAGUCGAUGGGAAACAGGUUAAUAUUCCUGUACUUGGUGUUACUGCGAAGGGGG